CCACCACUUUCGUCCGGUUUUUUUCAUAGGUUAAUCUUGGUAGAUUUUUUUUCGUCCGGUGCUCCUGUUGGUUUUCCCCCUCCGCAUCGUCGCUCGAUCCAACUCCUCCCUCUCCCUCGGUCUCGCCUCUCCUAUGGUUCGCUGCCCGCCGCCGUACCCCGCCACCCUGCUCCGCUGUUGCCCCUCCCUCCGCCUGCCUCGCCCCUGCUCUAGGGUUCGCCGCCCGCCGGAGCCCCCCGCCGCCCUGCUCCGCUGUUGCCCCUCCCUCCGCCUGCCUCGCCCCCUCCCCUACACUCACCCCUGCCCGAUCUGGAUCUGGAUGAGGCGUUGCCUCCCGUUCCUCUCAUCGCGUCCCUUCUGCCAGCCAUGGAAGAGGGGAGGAAGAAGCUUCUCUGUAGAAUCAGCCGAUCGAGCGGGCUCCUGAUGUUGGCUUGCGAGAAUGCGGCAGAUCUCGUCGAUGCUGCAGGGCCUGGCCCGUUCCAUGUCUCUGGGAAAGGAUAGGAAGGUGGAGGAGGAGCACCAGGGGACGGUGCUGCGGGAGUCGGGGACGCUCUGGGGCGAGGGCUCCGAGACGUUCGCUGCCGCGUGCUGGUCGUACAAGCACCAACACCACCGCUGGCUGUUUCCUCCAUACUGACAGAUCACCGUGUUGCUAUCCUUGUAUGUUGUAACCGGAGGAGAGGUAGGGGCGGUGCCGCUCAUGGCCGUGGCGUCGUGCUUGUGGUAGUGGUGAAUUGGAGAGAACGGCCUCCUAUCCAUGCACGUCCAUCUACUGCAGGCUUUCCCUCUUCCAGCAACAUCAUGUCUCAGUUUGCCACCGCCUUUCAUCCGGAUGGCCCUGGACAUACAUACCAGCACCACACCCUUCCUCCUGUUGCUGGGGACGCAGCUAUCAUCGGUCCUCUGUUAUCUGCAGCCCGGACGUACAAGCCGUCGAAGCUGACGUUCCUUUGCACAGGCUGCACAGACGGGUGUACAAGUUGUUGCUUCUGUUCAUCCACGCGCCAGUGACUCACAUACGUUGCUAGCUUUUGUUACUUGGUCCAUCCCUAGGAAGCAUAAGAUUACUUCAGUAUGCAUAUACACGUUGCUAGCUACGUGCAGGGUAUCUCAAGUUCACAAAUAUUUAUGAGAUUGUUUUACUAGCUUUUGUUAUCAUUUGGCCCUUCAGUAUGCAGAUUGAUCUCAACAUUCAUAAGAAUCUUAAAAAAAUGGAGAUGAAAAUACUUCAAGUAGUUCUGAGUGGAGAUCAUUUGAUAGCAUUUUGUUGUAGCAUCUACAUAAGACCUUUUCAUUUCAUUUUACCGAGAAACGCUGGAGGGUUCAUGUUUUCCUAAUCCAGGACAUGUUGAAGGUUCCUGAUGCAUUCUUACAAGAAGCAACAAUCCAGAGGUAAUUAGUGAAAUGAUAAGAGGGUCAAUUAAUGGUGUUCAAUUUUUCCUUCAAGCAAACAGUUUGUACCCAAAUACAAUACUAUUCAGUAUCAUCCUGAAACCAAUAUCUCAAAGCUUCAUUCUUUAUGGAUUCGAGCCUUGGCAAACCACUCCCAUUACAAGGUUCCAUAAACAUGCUGGAUUUGUAUGUCGAUAUUCAAAUUAAUUGGGCAAAAAAUAGAUAUAUUUACUUUGAUGUUUUUACAUAUUCAGGUGAAUAGCAUCCUGUUUUUACUUCAAAUAAUUAACAAAAAAUUAAAGAUCAUGAUUAUGUUGUUUAUUAAAUUCCUCUUGCAUUAUCUUUGAUGAAAAGUAUAUUAUAUGUCAGCAACGAUAUGUUAAUAUGGGCAAAGGAAAGUCAAAAUAUGUUAUCUCAGGGCCAAUAUUCUGAAAUUAGUGAAGCCCUAUAGUAUUUACUGGAUUGAUCGUGACACUGCUCAUAUUUUUUGGUACUUUAAUAUCUGAAAUAUUUCUUUUAAUCAUGAGCCGAGGAGAUGAUGGGUUGCAGGCACGCGCCCCGUCCUUCUCUUGUUCAAGGUUUGGCGGAUGCAUUAAGUUUGGAGAGGAAACUAACAUGAAUGACCAGGCGAUCUUUUGCUGACCUUUUUCUCCCUUUCUAAUUACUCCUCUCAUUUCCUCUGUUCUUCUCAGCCAUCUACUUUUCUAUCGCCAUAUCGAUCUCUAAACUCACUUCAUCUUUUUUCUUCCAAUUCAUCCGAUUGUUGUGUUCCAAGCACACAUGUCAUAAAGCAUCACCUCCUGCUUGUUCGAACAUGUUUGAUGUACUUACAUAUUAACAUGUUUGAUGUACUUACACAUUAACAAAACUGAUCAGUAACAUUCAUGACGAAUUAUUUGGGUUUGGUCCUCUGCUUUUUUACUAUUUAUUUAUUGAUGAAGAUAGCAGAUGUUCAUGUUUUUAAAUAUAGUUACAUGUGUUUGUACAAAAAAAAUAUAGUUACAUGUGCUUCCAGUUGGUAGAGAUCAAAAAAUUAACUCACUGAUGCAAGGAAAAAGAGCUCUUUUAUAGACACUGCCAGCAGUGGAUACAUGGUGAGCCUUUCUGAAUGUGUUUUAUGAAAUAAGGCUAAUUUAAGGUCAUUUUUUUGUUGGAUAAAAAACAGACAGUUGGUUAUUGGGUUAUUCAUGUUUGUUCUCAAUUUCUCAUGUCGCUCUCUUCUCUGUCCAGGGAUACGGGUGCCAGGACGACACCAUCUUCUGCGCCGUCUGCCUUCCUCUCCUCCAGCGGGAGAGGCCCCUGCCUUCCUCUCCUCCUGCGUGGUGGCAGAUGGCCACAGUUAACGGCUCUCCUGCGAGCGGGGGACACGAGUGCGGUGCAGACAGUGACCAGGUGUGACGAGACAGCCGCCGACCGCCUGUGGGCGGUUCUUUCAUGUGCUGUAGACCGUGCCAUUCUAUGACGAGGAUGUGUUCCAGGUGAGCAAGCAGUCCAUAAGUAUCGUGUGAAAGAGAGAGGACGCCAUGGUGAAGAUGAGGUGAGCGUUAUCCGGUUUUAAAGGAGAAGGCCCCAGCGAGAAAUGUCCUACUAAGAUGGGAAACUGAGCGGUAAGGCAGGAGAGGAAGUGUGCAUCGUGGGGUAGGGUUUUCUUGUUGGGACCGCAUGUUGGGAUAACAUAUGGGUUGGAUUUGGAGGCGUCCGGAGUAUCCAUACGGUUAAAUUUUGGGGAGCUUGCUUAAUGUCCUAACAUGUUCGGACGUAUGAGGGAGAAAUUAGAUUUAACCUUUGAUAUGACCAUUUGUGUGAUUUAUUUAUAUGGAUUGUAGCCCAUAGCAACGCAAGAGCGUUCUACUAGUCUUAAUAAAGACCGACUUCGGCCUUUCGAAUA